ensembl:lncRNA
CAACUUCCCACCCCUGUAGACGACGAAGGUGAAUUGAUUAGUUUGGAGUGCGACAAAUUGUUUACUUAACUUAUUAUGAUUGAUAGUUAGUUGUUUCAUUUGGAGCUGAAUUGUUUAGGGUUUAUUUAGUUAUUGAGAAUUAUGGUUUGGAGUUUUUGUUUUCUUUUUUGAUUUUUCUCCAUUCUGGCGUGUUUGGCCUUCUGUGAAAGGAUAAUAAACAUUUGCCAUUGCCACAAACAUCCGAGACACUGCCUCCAUUUCGUUCUACAUCGCCACGAGGCCAUCCCGGCUACAAUUGGACCAUGGUUGGAUGUCGGGGAUAAACCCAGAAUCUGGUUGAUGCUACAGGGAAGUGCUGGAGAGCAGAAGACCGCAGCCUGUGGGACAAGCAGGACCUUGAAGUCCUGAGUCUGCCUUUUGUUGGGCAGCACACGAUUAAUAUUGAAGACAUCCAAACUAUGAAGGAACACAUAUGGAUGUAUGUGGUAAACAAAGAAAUGCUCAACAAACCAGAAUAUGGUUUAGAUUCUUCAAAGUAGCACCUUU